UCUCCUCGGUGUGUCCAGAAUAAUGCCGCUCUAAACGGACAGAAAAGACUUUCCCUGGAGAACAGAGAUAAGCCAGAGAUAGACGUAUAGAUAGAGGGGCAAGAGAGGAAGAUCGCUUCAGAGACAAGGGCAGACGCCCACCCACGCGCUCGCCCAGACUGGAGCUCGUAAUGCGAAGGCUGAUGGGGCGUGAUCAGAGAGGAAAUGGGCAGGUCAUCAUGGGGAAGAGACGGUUUAUGCUGAAUGAUAGUUGUGUCACGGUAAACAGUCAUUGGGCUGGGGAAUAACAGCUCUAGGAUGUCAUUGUCAGGACAGGAGUGUGUUGAGUUGAGAUUUCUCAGUGAAAUUACCCACAAUCAUGAAUCAACAUCCACCAGAUUCAGAGAAACCGCUGUCACAUCACAAACAGGAAUCAAGGUUGUGGUGGCUUAAUUCGUAAGGAGGAGACUGCACUGACAGAAACCGAGAGCUGGAAGUAAGCUCAGCGUCCCCUUCAAAAAGGGAGCACAAUUUUUUUAGCUGAUCCUGGAAGAUCUGGGUCAGAUUUUAAAAUACACACAAAUACAUCAGCAGAACUUUAAUGCAUUCAGGCUGGUUCUGUCUAUAGUCCAAAACUGCACCAAAGACAGGACACAUGCUCACUUAAAGGGACAGUUCACUUCUUUUAUCCUUUACGCACCCUCAGGGCUUUCUUUCUCCCAUGGAGCACAAACAAGAUGUUUAGCAGAAUGUCUAUGC